UUUCAACGCUACUAGGAAGCAAUUGGGUUUGGGAUAUGGUCUGAACAAUACAUAUAUAUUGAAACAAGGAUUUAUAACUCGACCCCAAUUUUAAGUACGGAGCGUAGGUCUAUCAGUCUUUUAUCAAAAUAAAAGUACUAGACCCCACGCAGUACAACUUCCUUUCAAGCUUAUCAAUAUGCUUCGCAUACCCUUUCUCUGCAAUACUAUUUUCCCCAAAUACCAAACUUACUUGAUUCAAUUCAUAAUUCUCACAAGGCAUUUGCAAUCUUGGCUAUUCAAAUCUAACUAAGCCAAACUCUCUCUCCUCAUUUUCAAGCUUAAUUUGGAGUCACCAAUUCCUCCACCUAACACCGUAACAUAGCACCAUUCCGAAUUAUAAAUUUACACACAUCCACAUUGUUACAAUUCCUCAUCUCAUAGAUAAUUCUUAUUACCACUCAAUCAACUCUAAUCCACUUAAUACUCACCAUUUUCAACCAUCAUAAUCAUAUCAACAAGUCUUGAAGCUUAGGGAACUAUUCAUAGG
rnacentral:lncRNA from 1 species